AUACGUAGGGGGCGAGCGUUGUCCGGAAUUAUUGGGCGUAAAGCGCGCGCAGGCGGUCCACUAAGUCUGAUGUGAAAGCCCCCGGCUUAACCGGGGAGGGUCAUUGGAAACUGGUGGACUUGAGUGCAGGAGAGGAGAGUGGAAUUCCACGUGUAGCGGUGAAAUGCGUAGAGAUGUGGAGGAACACCAGUGGCGAAGGCGGCUCUCUGGCCUGUAACUGACGCUGAGGCGCGAAAGCGUGGGGAGCAAACAGGAUUAGAUACCCUGGUAGUCCACGCCGUAAACGAUGAGUGCUAGGUGUUGGGGGGAGCAAUCUCCUCAGUGCUGAAGUUAACACAUUAAGCACUCCGCCUGGGGAGUACGGCCGCAAGGCUGAA
rnacentral:rRNA from 1 species